rnacentral:rRNA from 1 species
CAGCAGCAGCCGCGGUAAUACGAAGGGGGCUAGCGUUGUUCGGAUUUACUGGGCGUAAAGGGUGCGUAGGCGGACUGAUAAGUCAGGGGUGAAAUCCCAAGGCUCAACCUUGGAACUGCCUUUGAUACUGUUAGUCUUGAGUUCGAGAGAGGUGAGUGGAACUGCGAGUGUAGAGGUGAAAUUCGUAGAUAUUCGCAGGAACACCAGUGGCGAAGGCGGCUCACUGGCUCGAAACUGACGCUGGGGCACGAAAGCGUGGGGAGCAAACAGGAUUAGAUACCCCCGUAGUCCCUGUCUCUUAUAC